UCGAGACUCUAUAUCAUGUCCUAAGUCAUAGAGUCUGUAUUAGGAUGUUAAAAGUGUAAUUCUGUUUUUAUUGGAUCGAUCACGCAGAAGGUUGUUGUUUGGUGAUUGCAAUAACCUCCUUAUUUUUGUCUUUGGAUAAGCAUUGUAUAUUCUUUUUGUAUUUUGUCACGAAAUCGCCAAAGGGGGAGAUUGUUAAGGAUUUUAUAAGUUGGCGAAUUUCGUGAUGGUUUGGAUGGAGUCUCGAAGAAUUAGAAGAUGAAGAUUGA
rnacentral:lncRNA from 1 species